AUCGGAGGUCUUUCGGUAGUAAGCUGCAAGUGUAGAAUAUCCCCAAACACGGUAUAAGGAUCGAUAUCCCGGAUCCCUACAACAUGAGUCGAGGCUGCAAGUUGAGGGUCAAAACGAACUGGCUUUACUGGCACACAAGAUGGCAAUUUAUGCGAUUCCUCAGGUCCAAGGACAGCCCCCUGUGGACCUGAUGGAAUACAGGUACAGUACAGACAGGUAACCAAUUACAGUACAGUGUAUCAUUUGAAUUAGUACCCGCCCAGCUUAGAGAUAAUGAGGCCAACGGUUAUACAAUCUAAUUAUCUCCAAGCGCACAAAAGACCACGUUUUAUUAUGUCCCAGAAAACUGUAUAAAAAUGCAUAACUUUAACAUUAAUAGAGGAAAACAGCUCAUUCUACCAUUCAUAUAAUGGCUCGCGUUCGGGUACAUUAAAACAUAUGAAUGGCGUUCCAAUCCCACAAACAGAAUGGGCUAUUUCUGCCGUAUAAAGUCCGUUCGGUAUUUUGGAUCGUUAGUCUCUGACGGCGGCCAUGUUUUCAGACGGUUUAGCGGGCAGCG